rnacentral:tRNA from 1 species
ACCUGCUCACCUCCAGCUACCGCAGCGCACGCGUCGACGCGGUGCUCUCGCCCUACGACGGCAUCUCCAUCGGCA